AUGAGCACGGGUAACAAGAUCGCGACUGAGACAGUGGAGUUCCAUAAGCUGAAGCUUGCCGAACUAAAGCAAGAAUGUCUUGCUUGUGGUUUGGAGACCAAGGGAAUAAAGCAAGAUCUUAUCCACAGACUCCAGGCAUAUCUUAAAGAACACGCUGAAGAGGAGGCAAAUGAAGAAGAUGUACUGGGAGAUGAAACAGAGGAAGAAGAAACAAAGCCCAUUGAGCUCCCUGUCAAAGAGGAAGAACCCCCUGAAAAAACUGUUGAUGUGGCAGCAGAGAAUAAAGUGCUGAAAAUUACAUCUGAAAUACCACAGACUGAGAGAAUGCAGAAGAGGGCUGAACGAAUUCUUAACUCUCCAAGCUUUGUGAGCUUGGAGAGUAAGAAAGCUGCUCGGGCAGCUAGGUUCGGGAAUUCUUCGGUUCCAACAAAAGAUCUGUCAUCUGAUAACAAACCUAUGGUUAACUUGGAUAAGCUGAAGGAAAGAGCUCAAAGAUUUGGUUUGAAUGUCUCUUCAAUCUCCAGAAAGUCUGAAGAUGAUGACAAACUGAAAAAGAGGAAGGAGUGAUUUGGGAUUGUCACAAGUUCAGCUGGAACUGGAACCACAGAGGAUACAGAGGCAAAGAAGAGGAAAAGAGCAGAGCGCUUUGGGAUUGCCUGAUGAGAAGUUCUUGAUACUUUGUGUUCUCCAGUGUUUUCCAUUUCUCUCAUUCUUCUUGGUCACACAUACGC